CGGGCGGCCGUGACCCUGCUGGAGUGCGGGGGGGACCUCCAGCCCCCCGGGGGGUCCCUGCGCCUCCUCUGCCGAGGGGCCGGGUUCCAUUUUGGGCGUGUUGACAUGUUGUGGAUCCGCCAGAAACCUGGACAGGGGCUGGAAUACGUGGCAAGGAUCUACUACACUGGUGCUUACACCUACUACGCGCCGUCGGUCAAGGGCCGGUUCACGAUCUCCAGGGACAACAGGCAGAGCUCGGUGACGCUGACCAUGAACAGCCUCAAGGACGAGGAUUCCGCCACCUAUUUCUGUGCCAAAUGUUACAGCAGUGGUUGUGGUGGUGGUGCUGCUUAUGCUUAUGGUGUUGAUGUCCGUCCCUUCCCCUCCGUCCCAGAGCGGAACGGGGAUCGCUCCGGGGCCCUUUGCACACAAAGCUUUUUGUGCAGCCGGCGCUCUGCCGCAGCGCCCCGAGGCUGA